rnacentral:rRNA from 1 species
AUGGCAGAAGUAGAUGAGUUUAAAACAACAUUCAAAACUCAUAAUGGGCAAUAUCAGUUUAAGGUGAUGCCCUUUGGGCUUUGUAUUGCUCCAGCUACUUUUCAAUGCUUCAUGAACUUCACUUUCAAAGGUCCAAAUAGGAAAUCCGUGCUCAUAUUCAUGGAUGAUAUACUGGUAUUUAGUGAGACCUUGGAGGAGCACAUACAACAUUUGCAAGAAGUAUUUGAUAUACUCAAGGAACACAACUUGUUUGUCAAGGAAAGCAAAUGUUAUUUUUCUCAACAGUCCAUGGAGUACUUGGGCCACAUUAUUACUAAUGCAGGAGUGACCACUGAUCCUGCCAAGACAACUGCUAUGCUGGACUAG